rnacentral:lncRNA from 1 species
CUCUCUGUAUAUGUUCUUUCACCUUAUUGUGUGUAGGAGCUGUGAUAGAAGGACUAGGUGAAGGUGUCUGCGUAGGAGUCUUACUCACAGAAGGUCCCUCUCCAAAGAGCUUAAAAACCAAGUCCUCAAUAGCAAAUCUCAUGGUAGAUCCAACUUUCAUUCCAUGGUCCUUCUUAAAGUGAUCAAUCAGCAUAUGCUUGACACCAUGUCGCUCUGAGCUGAUCUCAGCCAACAACCCCUGUGCAAGAGUGGUUUGAGGAACUGUCCCGGUACCUGAUCCCUGCGCUGAUUGAGUACUAUCUGUGUGUGUCUUUAAUGGUGGAGAACUCAUAUGUGUCGGCUCAGGGGGNGCACCGCCUGAUUCUGUCAAUCCAGAUCUGAUCAAAUCCAAAUGCCUCCAAUACAGAAUAAAUGAAGCCCCAGUCCAUGCGAUCAUAUGCUUUAGCCAUGUCUAACUUCAGCAUAGUGUUUCCCCCUCGCACUCUAUCAUCCAAAGCGUAGAGAAGCUCCUGAGCCAAUAAAAC